GACAGUGCAGUCUGACUGCUAGCUAUCAUCAUCUCCUGGGUGCUCGGCAGAAGAUGCUGUAUUAUGACUGCUAGCCAUCAUCAUCUCCUGGCUGCUUGCCAGAAGACGGUGCAGUAGGACUGCUAGCCAUCGUCAUCUCUUCAGUGCUUGGCAGAUGUGUGUGACCUGGAUGAGCCACUCCCAUGUCUGCCCGGGCGCCCCGAUUGACCUCACCUAGAUCAACAACGUCUUUCUAGAGAACCUGGGGGCCCUGGACAGCGUUACAUCAGACGAGAAAGAUGAACCAGACCUGUCUUGUUUUUGCUCAACACCAAUCCUGAGGGCUGUGCCAUGACUGUGAGACUUGAACUUCAGAGGCUAUAAACUGCAAGCUCCAGGACCCCUGUGCUGAACUGUGUUUUAAAAGUUGAUUGAACACUAUUGCCAUAGAUUAUGCAAUGCAAUACCUGUGCUUAACUCAAGAACAUUUAGCACAAGGGGUGACCUUGGUAAAUGCUGUGCAAUUCGGUCGAGACCCUGACAGUAUUUUUUUUAAAAUGACCAAACUGGAGGAUGUCUGCUCAAAGCGUUAUACUGAUCGUCUGGGCUGCACAAAGAGUUACAGAGCCCUGCUUAGGAAAAAACAUUUGUAAGAAAUCUAAAAAGAUUAAGUUAGAGAAUGGUGAGGGGACAAACAUGUGAUAUAAAACUUGGUACCUAUAACUAGCUGUAUUUCUGUUAGAAGGUCUGUGUGACGCUUAAAUAAGAUAAAUAUUUUUAUGGAGCAUCCUGGUUUGUUGUCAAGGAGAUGUAUGUCUUUUAAAUAAAUACAAAAAUAGUUUGUGAGAA